rnacentral:rRNA from 1 species
GACGAACGCUGGCGGCGUGCCUAAUACAUGCAAGUCGAGCGAGCGGCGGACGGGUGAGUAAUGUAUGGGGACUGCCCGAUAGAGGGGGAUAACUACUGGAAACGGUGGCUAAUACCGCAUACUAUCGGAUAACCCAGAUGGGAUUAGCUAGUAGGUGGGGUAAAGGCUCACCUGGGCGACGAUCUCUAGCUGGUCUGAGAGGAUGAACAGCCAGACUGGGACUGGGACAGGGCCCAGACUCCUACGGAGGCAGCAGUGGGGAAUAUUGCACAAUGGGCGCAAGCCGAAUGCAGCCAUGCCGCGUGUAUGAAGAAGGCCUUAGGGUUGUAAAGUACUUUCAGCGGGGAGGCGUUACCCGCAGAAGAAGCACCGGCUAACUCCGUGCCAGCCGCCGCGGUAAUUC